rnacentral:snRNA from 1 species
GUGCUUACUUCAGCAGUACAUAAAUUGGAACGAUACAGAGAAGAUUAAUGGUCCCGGCACAAGGAUGACAUGCAAAUUCAUGAAGCAUUCCAUAUUUUA